rnacentral:rRNA from 1 species
GAGUGAACGCUGGCGGUAGGCCUAACACAUGCAAGUCGAACGGCAGCACAGUAAGAGCUUGCUCUUACGGGUGGCGAGUGGCGGACGGGUGAGGAAUACAUCGGAAUCUACUUUUUCGUGGGGGAUAACGUAGGGAAACUUACGCUAAUACCGCAUACGACCUACGGGUGAAAGCAGGGGAUCUUCGGACCUUGCGCGAUUGAAUGAGCCGAUGUCGGAUUAGCUAGUUGGCGGGGUAAAGGCCCACCAAGGCGACGAUCCGUAGCUGGUCUGAGAGGAUGAUCGGCCACACUGGAACUGAGACACGGUCCAGACUCCUACGGGAGGCAGCAGUGGGGAAUAUUGGACAAUGGGCGCAAGCCUGAUCCAGCCAUACCGCGUGGGUGAAGAAGGCCUUCGGGUUGUAAAGCCCUUUUGUUGGGAAAGAAAAGCAGCAGGUUAAUACCCCGCUGUUCUGACGGUACCCAAAGAAUAAGCACCGGCUAACUUCGUG